GCCGUCGUCGACCAGUGGAAGGUCAUCCUCGAAAACUGCUUUUGUCCUUAUCUUUGGUCAUCGAGGAAGACGGGGGUUCGAUUCCUCCCGGCGAUA